GUGUCUAUUGUACAGGAUAUGAAGCAGCAAAACUUGCAGAUGUCUCCCUGCUGAAUAUUAUUUGUGAUUAAAGGGAUUUCAAAACAAAGACUGAGGCAUCUUGGCAGGACGGUAAAAGAAAGCCCCAACAUUUUACUGCUGAACUGUACGUAUCAAUGACUAUGAGCAGUGCGUCAGCCAUCAAGGCUCUAAAUCCAGCACUUCUCAUGAUUUAAAGGGAACAACCACCUAUUCACAUUUUGUUUCCAAGGUGAUGGAUAUAAAAAGUAUCAAAGCUUUCAACUAAACAAAUCAAGGUGUCGUUGUGCAAUGCUAUGUAAGUGGCUCAGAUUACUGAGACUGAAAAGUGAGGAAGCCUGGAAAGAAAAGGAGGAGCCUGGAAAAAUACAGGCAAGAAAAAGAUAGAAGAAAUGAGGAAAAAUGGAGAGGGAUACACUAAGAAGCUGAGGUCAGAGAUGGAAUAAAAAGAACUGGUUUUCAUUACAUUUACAAAUUGUCAUUCAGUUCCCGGGGAGAAUGGAAGCGUGA